rnacentral:rRNA from 1 species
UACGAAGGGUGCUAGCGUUACUCGGAAUCACUGGGCGUAAAGCGUGCGUAGGCGGAGAUACGAGUCAGAGGUGAAAUCCCAGGGCUCAACCCUGGAAUUGCCUUUGAAACUGUAUUUCUUGAGUAUGGUAGAGGAUGGUGGAAUUCCUAGUGUAGAGGUGAAAUUCGUAGAUAUUAGGAGGAACACCGGUGGCGAAGGCGGCCAUCUGGGCCAUCACUGACGCUGAGGCACGAAAGCGUGGGUAGCAAACAGG